AUUGAACGCUGGCGGCAGGCCUAACACAUGCAAGUCGAACGAGUGGCGGACGGGUGAGUAAUGUCUGGGAAACUGCCUGACGGAGGGGGAUAACUACUGGACACAGUAGCUAAUACCGCAUACCAUCAGAUGUGCCCAGAUGGGAUUAGCUUCUUGGUGGGGUAACGGCACACCAAGGCGACGAUCCCUAGCUGGUAUGAGAGGAGGACCAGACCAACUGGGACUGAGACACGGUCCAGACUCAUAGAUGAGGCAUCGUUGAAUAAUAUUGCACAAUGGGCGCAAGCCUGAUCCAGCCAUGCCGCGUGUAUGAAGAAGCCCUUCGGGUUGUAAAGUACUUUCAGCGGGGAGGCGUUACCCGCAGAAGAAGCACCGGCUAACUCCGUGCCAGCAGCCGCGGUAAUUC
rnacentral:rRNA from 1 species